rnacentral:rRNA from 1 species
GAUGAACGCUGGCGGCGUGCCUAAUACAUGCAAGUCGAGCGAACGGACGAGAAGCUUGCUUCUCUGAUGUUAGCGGCGGACGGGUGAGUAACACGUGGAUAACCUACCUAUAAGACUGGGAUAACUUCGGGAAACCGGAGCUAAUACCGGAUAAUAUUUUGAACCGCAUGGUUCAAAAGUGAAAGACGGUCUUGCUGUCACUUAUAGAUGGAUCCGCGCUGCAUUAGCUAGUUGGUAAGGUAACGGCUUACCAAGGCAACGAUGCAUAGCCGACCUGAGAGGGUGCUCGGCCACACAGGAACUGAGACACGGUCCAGACACCUACGGGAGGCAGCAGUAGGGAAUCUUCCGCAAUGGGCGAAAGCCUGACGGAGCAACGCCGCGUGAGUGAUGAAGGUCUUCGGAUCGUAAAACUCUGUUAUUAGGGAAGAACAUAUGUGUAAGUAACUGUGCACAUCUUGACGGUACCUAAUCAGAAAGCCACGGCUAACUACGUG